CUUGAGCUUGAUCCCUGGCUCAGGACGAACGCUGGCGGCGUGCCUAAUACAUGCAAGUCGAGCGAAUCUUUCGGAGCUUGCUCCCGAAGGUUAGCGGCGGACGGGUGAGUAACACGUGGGCAACCUGCCUAUAAGACUGGGAUAACUUCGGGAAACCGGAGCUAAUACCGGAUAAUCCUUUUCCUCUCAUGAGGGAAAGCUGAAAGACGGUCUCGGCUGUCACUUAUAGAUGGGCCCGCGGCGCAUUAGCUAGUUGGUGAGGUAACGGCUCACCAAGGCGACGAUGCGUAGCCGACCUGAGAGGGUGAUCGGCCACACUGGGACUGAGACACGGCCCAGACUCCUACGGGAGGCAGCAGUAGGGAAUCUUCCGCAAUGGACGAAAGUCUGACGGAGCAACGCCGCGUGAACGAUGAAGGCUUUCGGGUCGUAAAGUUCUGUUGUUAGGGAAGAACAAGUAUCGGAGUAACUGCCGGUACCUUGACGGUACCUAACCAGAAAGCCA
rnacentral:rRNA from 1 species